GGCUGUUUUUCCCCGGGAAUCCGCACAGUGCGCCCCAUCCUCCCACCCCCGCAGUGCGCCGGGCCGGGGAGCUGCUCCCUUCACCGCCCCGCAGGGCAGCCGGACCGAGCCCGCGGGUCUCCAGGGUGCAGUGUGGCCGCUCGCGGCGUACCGCCUCCCGAUCGGGCCGGCAGGACAGUCUGUCCGCCGGACCAGCAAGCCCCCUCCUUUGCUGAGUCUGAGCGGGUCGCUCCUCCGAGGCGGUGAAGCUGACUUAGUUUACACCCCAGGGCGCCUCUCUAGCAUUACCUGCCAGUGCCAGGAGUUGUAGAGUGCUCUGAGCAGAGAGGGGCCGCCGAGCCUCCUUCUGGAAGCAUUGCUAGGUUUGGCUUUGAAACACGAGGGACAUGUUGGUAUCGAGCUCUGGUUUUGGUCUGAAGACAAUGAGAAGAGGAGAGGGAAAGAGUCCUCUGGACUAUCCGGUACUGCUGAUUCCAGCUAGAGAAAUGUUUGAGAGUUAGAGACAACAUAACUAGUCACAGCCUGCUCAGUCUGGAAUAGUAAUAAAGACACCUGC
rnacentral:lncRNA from 1 species